UACGUAGGGUGCAAGCGUUAAUCGGAAUUACUGGGCGUAAAGCGUGCGCAGGCGGCUUUGCAAGACAGAUGUGAAAUCCCCGGGCUUAACCUGGGAAUGGCGUUUGGGACUGGAUAGCUGGAGUACGGCAGAGGGAGGUGGAAUUCCACGUGUAGCAGUGAAAUGCGUAGAUAUGCGGAGGAACACCGAUGGCGAAGGCAAUCCCCUGGACCUGUACUGACGCUCAUGCACGAAAGCGUGGGGAGCAAACAGG
rnacentral:rRNA from 1 species